UUAAGUAGAAGUCGUAACAAGGUCUCCGUUGGUGAACCAGCGGAGGGAUCAUUAC
rnacentral:rRNA from 1 species